UUAGAAGUAUGACUCCCAUCUCUACGUAAUAGAAUAGAGUAUAAUAAAGUUGAAAUCCAAAAUUCUUUCAAUUUCUUUUUCUUUGUUUAGGUUUCGGGUAAAAGUGAAAAUAGUAUCUUAAUCAUAGUUAUUAGUCUAAACACCCAAAUGUUUCUAUAGCUAGAAACAAAAACUAAAACAAAAACAAAAAAUUAAAUUACUUAAU
rnacentral:lncRNA from 1 species